rnacentral:tRNA from 1 species
UGGGGCGUGGCCAAGUGGUAAGGCAACGGGUUUUGGUCCCGCUAUUCGGAGGUUCGAGUCCUUCCGCCCCAG